AUUGAACGCUGGCGGCAGGCCUAACACAUGCAAGUCGAGCGAGCGGCGGACGGGUUAGUAAUGUAUGGGGACUGCCCGAUAGAGGGGGAUAACUACUGGAAACGGUUGCUAAUAACGCAUACUAUCGGAAAACACAUAUGGGAUUAGCUAGUAGGGGGGGUAAAGCCUCACCUAGGCGACGAUCCCUAGCUGGUCUGAGAGGUUGAACAGCACGACUGGAAUGGAGACAUGGUCCAGACUCCUACGGAGGCAUCAGUGUGGAAUAUUGACCAAUGGGCGAAAGCCUGAUGAAGCAAUGCCGCGUGUGUGAAGAAGGCCUUCGGGUUGUAAAGCACUUUCAGCGAGGAGGCGUUAAUCGCAGAAGAAGCACCGGGUAAGUCCGUGCCAGCAGCCGCGGUAAUAC
rnacentral:rRNA from 1 species